rnacentral:rRNA from 1 species
AUCGAACGCUGGCGGCAGGCCUAAUACAUGCAAGUCGAACGAGUCGCGGACGGGCGAGCAAUGUCUGGGACACUGCCUGAUGGAGGGGGAUAACCUCUGGAAACGGUAUCUAAUAACGUACUCUCUCGGACGCGCCUAUAUGGUUUUAGCUAGUAGGCGGGGUAAAGGCUCACCUAGGCGACGAUCCCUAUCUGGUCUGAGAGGAUGACCAGCCACACUGUGACUGAGACACGGUCCAGACUCCUACGGGAGGCAGCAGUGGGGAAUAUUUCACAAUGGGCGCAAGCCUGAUGCAGCCAUGCCGCGUGUAUGAAGAAGGCCUUCGGGUUGUAAAGCACUUUCAGCGUGGAUGCGUUACUGACAGAAGAAGCACCGGCUAACUCCGUGCCAGCAGCCGCGGUAAUUC